GAGGGUAUAGCUCAAGUGGUAGAGCGCAUGCUUGACAUGCAUGAGGCCCCAGGUUCAAUGCUCAGCACCUCCU
rnacentral:tRNA from 1 species